rnacentral:rRNA from 1 species
GAUGAACGCUAGCUACAGGCUUAACACAUGCAAGUCGAGGGGCAGCAUGGUCUUAGCUUGCUAAGGCCGAUGGCGACCGGCGCACGGGUGAGUAACACGUAUCCAACCUGCCGUCUACUCUUGGACAGCCUUCUGAAAGGAAGAUUAAUACAAGAUGGCAUCAUGAGUCCACAUGUUCACAUGAUUAAAGGUAUUCCGGUAGACGAUGGGGAUGCGUUCCAUUAGAUAGUAGGCGGGGUAACGGCCCACCUAGUCUUCGAUGGAUAGGGGUUCUGAGAGGAAGGUCCCCCACAUUGGAACUGAGACACGGUCCAAACUCCUACGGGAGGCAGCAGUGAGGAAUAUUGGUCAAUGGGCGAGAGCCUGAACCAGCCAAGUAGCGUGAAGGAUGACUGCCCUAUGGGUUGUAAACUUCUUUUAUAAAGGAAUAAAGUCGGGUAUGGAUACCCGUUUGCAUGUACUUUAUGAAUAAGGAUCGGCUAACUCCGUGCCAGCAGCCGCGGUAAUACGGAGGAUCCGAGCGUUAUCCGGAUUUAUUGGGUUUAAAGGGAGCGUAGAUGGAUGUUUAAGUCAGUUGUGAAAGUUUGCGGCUCAACCGUAAAAUUGCAGUUGAUACUGGAUAUCUUGAGUGCAGUUGAGGCAGGCGGAAUUCGUGGUGUAGCGGUGAAAUGCUUAGAUAUCACGAAGAACUCCGAUUGCGAAGGCAGCCCUGCUAAGCUGCAACUGACAUUGAGGCUCGAAAGUGUGGGUAUCAAACAGGAUUAGAUACCCUGGUAGUCCACACGGUAAACGAUGAAUACUCGCUGUUUGCGAUAUACAGCAAGCGGCCAAGCGAAAGCGUUAAGUAUUCCACCUGGGGAGUACGCCGGCAACGGUGAAACUCAAAGGAAUUGACGGGGGCCCGCACAAGCGGAGGAACAUGUGGUUUAAUUCGAUGAUACGCGAGGAACCUUACCCGGGCUUAAAUUGCAGAUGAAUUACGGUGAAAGCCGUAAGCCGCAAGGCAUCUGUGAAGGUGCUGCAUGGUUGUCGUCAGCUCGUGCCGUGAGGUGUCGGCUUAAGUGCCAUAACGAGCGCAACCCUUGUUGUCAGUUACUAACAGGUUCCGCUGAGGACUCUGACAAGACUGCCAUCGUAAGAUGUGAGGAAGGUGGGGAUGACGUCAAAUCAGCACGGCCCUUACGUCCGGGGCUACACACGUGUUACAAUGGGGGGUACAGAGGGCCGCUACCACGCGAGUGGAUGCCAAUCCCAAAAACCUCUCUCAGUUCGGACUGGAGUCUGCAACCCGACUCCACGAAGCUGGAUUCGCUAGUAAUCGCGCAUCAGCCACGGCGCGGUGAAUACGUUCCCGGGCCU